GUGAACGCUGGCGGUAGGCCUAACCCCUGCAAGUCGAACGGCAGCACAGUAAGAGCUUGCUCCUACGGGUGGCGAGUGGCGGACGGGUGAGGAAUACAUCGGAAUCUACUUUUUCGUGGGGGAUAACGUAGGGAAACUUACGCUAAUACCGCAUACAACCUACGGGUGAAAGCAGGGGAUCUUCGGACCUUGCGCGAUUGAAUGAGCCGAUGUCGGAUUAGCUAGUUGGCGGGGUAAAGGCCCACCAAGGCGACGAUCCGUAGCUGGUCUGAGAGGAUGAUCAGCCACACUGGAACUGAGACACGGUCCAGACUCCUACGGGAGGCAGCAGUGGGGAAUAUUGGACAAUGGGCGCAAGCCUGAUCCAGCCAUACCGCGUGGGUGAAGAAGGCCUUCGGGUUGUAAAGCCCUUUUGUUGGGAAAGAAAAGCAGCAGGUUAAUACCCCGCUGUUCUGACGGUACCCAAAGAAUAAGCACCGGCUAACUUCGUG
rnacentral:rRNA from 1 species